rnacentral:rRNA from 1 species
CCAGCAGCUGCGGUAAUUCCAGCUCCAAUAGCGUAUAUUAAAGUUGUUGCAGUUAAAAAGCUCGUAGUUGGAUUUCUGGCAGGAGCGACCGGUCUCACACUCUGUGUGAGAACUUGUGUUGUCUCUGGCCAUCCUUGGGGAGAUCCUGUUUGGCAUUAAGUUGUCGGGCAGGGGAUACCCAUCGUUUACUGUGAAAAAAUUAGAGUGUUUAAAGCAGGCUUAUGCCGUUGAAUAUAUUAGCAUGGAAUAAUAAGAUAGGACUUUGGUACUAUUUUGUUGGUUUGUGCACCAGAGUAAUGAUUAAUAGGGACAGUUGGGGCUAUUCGUAUUCCAUUGUCAGAGGUGAAAUUCUUGGAUUUACGAACGAUGAACUUAUGCGAAAGCAUUCGGCAAGGAUGUUUUCAUUGAUAAAGAACGAACGU